rnacentral:rRNA from 1 species
AUUGAACGCUGGCGGCAGGCCUAACACAUGCAAGUCGAGCGAGCGGCGGACGGGUGAGUAAUGUAUGGGGAACUGCCCGAUAGAGGGGGAUAACUACUGGAAACGGUGGCUAAUACCGCAUACUAUCCGAUUAACCCAAAUGGGAUUAGCUUGUGGGUGGGGUAAAGGCUCACCUAGGCGACGAUCUCUCGCUGGUCUGAGAGGAUGAACAGCCACACUGGGACUGCGACACGGCCCAGACUCCUACGGGAGGCAGCAGUGGGGAAUAUUGCACAAUGGGCGCAAGCCUGAUGCAGCCAUGCCGCGUGUAUGAAGAAGGCCUUAGGGUUGUAAAGUACUUUCAGCGGGGAGGCGUUACCCGCAGAAGAAGCACCGGCUAACUCCGUGCCAGCAGCCGCGGUAAUAC